rnacentral:rRNA from 1 species
AAUCUCAGAUCAGGCGAGGUCACCCGCUGAAUUUAAGCAUAUCAAUAAGCG